UAUGAUUAAAUCAAAGGAACUUGUUUUUUAAUCGAUAAUACCCGAUAAAUUUCACUUUUUUAAAAAGCUUAUAUACCGCCGUUUAAACUAAUCUAAAAUAACUCUUUACAACCCUAUUUAAUAUUUCAGGUCAAGGUGUAGCCAAUACUUUAGAUAAAAUAAGUUACUAUAAAAACUAUUUAUGGAAAUAAAAAAAAUUUAAAUAAAAUAGGAUUUAAAUUCAAUAAUUUAAUAAUAAUAAAUUAUGAAGAUCAUUUGAAC
rnacentral:rRNA from 1 species